AAAUGUGAUAAACAUGAAAUGAUCAAAUACGUCCACGUAAAAUUUUGCAAAGCCCAACAAUAGUAUUUUUGUCCUUUUACUUAUCAAAAAAAAUUUACGCAUCAAACAUAAAUACGUCGUAAAAUUACGAAUAUAAAUGUAAAUAGAAAAAUCCGAAGACAAAAUUUCACAAUUGGUGCUCCAUCUAAUUUUAUCAAUUUCGAUUUAACCCUCUAUGAAAUCUAGAGUUGCUCCCACUAAGCGUGAAAACCGCGUCGCUUUGGAGGUCUUGGCUCCAAGGCUGGGCGUCCCGAGCGCUCCAAGGCUGGGCGUCCCAUGCCUUUGCUCAAUGGCACAAGCUGCAGGCCUAGCACGCUUACUCG
rnacentral:lncRNA from 1 species